rnacentral:rRNA from 1 species
UACAGGGGGUGCAAACGUUGCUCGGAAUUAUUGGGCGUAAAGCGCGCGUAGGCGGCUACUUAAGUCGGAUGUGAAAGCCCCUGGCUCAACUGGGGAAGUGCACCCGAAACUGAGUAGCUUGAGUACGAAAGAGGGUCGCGGAAUUCCCGGUGUAGAGGUGAAAUUCGUAGAUAUCGGGAGGAACACCGGUGGCGAAGGCGGCGACCUGGGUCGAUACUGACGCUGAGGCGCGAAAGCGUGGGGAGCAAACAGGAUUAGAAACCCCCGUAGUCC